UACGAAGGGGGCUAGCGUUGUUCGGAAUCACUGGGCGUAAAGCGCACGUAGGCGGAUUUGUCAGUCAGGGGUGAAAUCCCGGGGCUCAACCUCGGAACUGCCUUUGAUACAGCAAAUCUCGAGUCCGGAAGAGGUGGGUGGGAUUGCUAGUGUAGAGGUGAAAUUCGUAGAUAUUAGGAAGAAGACCAGUGGCGAAGGCGGCGCACUGGUCCGGUACUGACGCUGAGUGGCGAAAGCGUGGGGAGCAAACAGG
rnacentral:rRNA from 1 species